rnacentral:rRNA from 1 species
AUGAAAGAAAAAAAAGUAUUUGCAGUUCUGGCAGUUAGCUUGCUCAACAUAAUGCAGUUAGCUAUUAUGCUCAAACAGUUACCGUCUACUGUUGCAGUUCGGAAAAAAAUGACGAAAGUGACAUUAGUUUUUUCAAAACUACUCUUAAACCGUAUCGAAUCUGAAAAAGUGUUAUAUAUACCAAAAUUCGGGCUAAUUGAUAGCUUUCCAAUGGUAUAUCAUACGCAUCAUUCCGACAAAAGGUUUGAAAAUUCCUUUCACAAAAACACCGGAAAUGCAUUUGAAGAAUUUUUAGUUUUUUGA